CCCCCCCCCCCCCCCCCCCAUCCUGCUCUUUAUUUCCCCUCCUUCCCUCUGGGGUCCAGCUGUGAAACAACAUGAAUGGCGCAGAGGGAGGAACACUUCUUCUCUACUUCCUUUACCCCACACUGUUGAGUUAAACAGCCCAGAUUACCAUCGCUGAUACAAUCACACUGUUUCUCUUCUGUGAAUAGUGUGAAAUCUGCUCAUGGUUACUGCACAUUACAUAGUCACUUUCACUGCUAUUGAAUUAACAUCUGCGUGUACUGCGUAUACCUGCAGGUCCGUUUGUCAGUGUGGUGACGUGUGAGUCAGUCCUGGAGAAGGAAGCAGCGCUGAGAGGCCAGCUGGACACACUGAAGGAGGUGGAGAAGGGAACCACCCGCCACGGCCUGGGCAUCUUCCUCUAAAGAUAUACAGACCCUGGAGAAGAUACUGUUACUGUAGCAUAGAACAAGCUGCUCAGGGAUGGUCAUCUGAUGGUGUGUGUGUUGGUGUAUGUGUCUGUCUCACACUACUUGUCUUUUUAAAGCAAAGCAGUGCGACACAAACAACAAAACAAGUUACACAUGGAAUAAACAAAUAUACAGUAUAUAACACAAUAGAAAAAAUAUAUGUACAGUGUUUGCAAAUGAGGUAAGAUUUGAGAGGUAUGGCAAUAAAUAGGCCGUAGUGGCGAAGUAAUUAAAAUUUAGCAAUUUAACACGGGAGUGAUAGAUGUGCAAAUGAUGAAUGUGCAAGUAGCGAUACUGGGGUGCAAAGGAGCAAAAACAUAAAUCACAAUAUGGUGAUGAGGUAGUUGGAUGGGUGCAAUGAUCUGUGAGCUGCUUUGACAGCUGAUGCUUAAAGUUAGUGAGGGUGAUAUGAGUCUCCAGCUUCAGUGAUUUUUGCAAUUCGUUCCAGUCAUUGGCAGCAGAGAACUAGAAGGAAAGGAGGCCAAAGGAGGAACUGGCUUUGGGGGUGACCAGUGAAAUAUACCUGCUGGAGCGCAUGUUACGGGUGGGUGCUGCUAUGGUGACCAGUGAGUUUGGCGACGAAUAUGAAGCAAGGGCCAGCCAACGAGAGCAUACAGGUCGCAGUUGUGGGUAGUAUAUGGGGCUUUGGUGACAAAACAGAUGGCACUGUGAUAGACUGCAUCCAAUUAGCUGAGUAGAGUGUUGGCGGCUAUUUUGUAAAUGACAUCUGCAAAGUCAAGGAUCGGUAGGGUAGUCAGUUUUACGAGGGUAUGUUUGGCAGCAUGAGUGAAGGAUGCUUUGUUGCGAAAUAGGAAGCUGAGUUUAGAUUUAAUUUUGGAUUGGAGAUGCUUAAUGUGAGUCUGGAAGGAGAGUUUACAGUCUAAGCAGACACCUAGGUAUUUGUAGUUGUCCACAUAUUCUAAGUCAGAACCGUCCAGAGUAGUGAUGCUGGAGGGGUGGGCAGGGGCCGGCAGAGAUCGGUUGAAGAACAUGCAUUUAGUUUUACUUGCAUUUAAGAGCAGUUGGAGGCCACGGAAGGAGUGUUGAAUGGCAUUGAAGCUCGUCUGGAGGCUAGUUAACCUUUCUAGCGCGUAAAAUUCUAAAAUAUUUUUUUAAAUAUUGUAACUUUCACACAUUAACAAGUCCAAUACAGCAAAUGAAAGAUAAACAUCUUGUUAAUCUACCCAUCGUGUCCGAUUUCAAAAAUGCUUUUCAGUGAAAGCAUAACAUAUGAUUAUGUUAGAUAAUAACCAAGUCGAAAAAAGCCAAAGAUAUAAAAAAGCAUAAAUAUAGAUGAAAUGAAUCACUAACCUUUGAUGAUCUUCAUCAGAUGACACUCAUGUUACACAAUACACGUAUGUUUUGUUCGAUAAUGUGCAUUUUUAUAUC
rnacentral:lncRNA from 13 species